GAUGAACGCUAGCGGCAGGCCUAACACAUGCAAGUCGAGGGAGAAGCCUUUCGGGGCAGAAACCGGCGCACGGGUGCGUAACGCGUAUGCAACCUACCUUUCACAGGGGGAUAGCCCGAAGAAAUUUGGAUUAAUACCCCAUAAUAUUGUUGGAUGGCAUCAUCUGAUAAUUAAAACUGCGGUGGUGAAAGAUGGGCAUGCGUCCUAUUAGCUAGUUGGAGUGGUAACGGCACCCCAAGGCUACGAUAGGUAGGGGUCCUGAGAGGGAGAUCCCCCACACUGGUACUGAGACAGGGACCAGACUCCUACGGGAGGCAGCAGUGAGGAAUAUUGGUCAAUGGUCGGAAGACUGAACCAGCCAUGCCGCGUGCAGGAAGAAUGCCUUAUGGGUUGUAAACUGCUUUAUAUGGGAAGAAUAAGGUGUACGUGUACAUUGAUGACGUACCAUAUGAAUAAGCAUCGC
rnacentral:rRNA from 1 species